rnacentral:rRNA from 1 species
UACGUAGGCAGCAAGCGUUGUUCGGAGUUACUGGGCGUAAAGGGUGUGUAGGCGGUUCCCUAAGUUUGGUGUGAAAUCUCCCGGCUCAACUGGGAGGGUGCGCCGAAAACUGGGGGGCUAGAGUACUGGAUGGGAGAGUGGAAUUCCUGGUGUAGCGGUGAAAUGCGUAGAUAUCAGGAGGAACACCUGUGGUGCAGACGGCUCUCUGGACAGUAACUGACGCUGAGACACGAAAGCGUGGGUAGCAAACAGG